CAGCACAGGGGCAGCACACGCGGCGACAGUGGGAGCUUUCGACACAUCACGCCAUCCAUGUGCCUCAACCCUGACCUGGAGAGACCACCUCUAAG
ensembl:misc_RNA